UUGAAAUUCUUGCAAACGUUCAACUGAAUGGCACAAAAUCCCCCAAUGAUAUUCAUGUAUCUUUUACUAAGGGAUGAGGGCUCAAAGGCGCACUCAAAGGGAGUUGAGGGCUCAAAGGCGAACUCAAAAUGGAGGUAGGGUUAGAAAACGCACUACCUAAGGGAUGAGGGCUCAAAGGCGUACUCAAAAGGAGUUGAGGGCUCAAAGGCGCACUCAAAAGGAGGUAGGGUUAGAAAAGACACUACCAAAAGGAUGAGGGCUCAAAGGCACACUCAAAAUGGAGGUGAGGGCUUAAAGGCGCACUCAAAAGGAGG
rnacentral:lncRNA from 1 species